ACAGAGGGUGCAAGCGUUAAUCGGAAUUACUGGGCGUAAAGCGCGCGUAGGUGGUUUGUUAAGUUGGAUGUGAAAUCCCCGGGCUCAACCUGGGAACUGCAUUCAAAACUGACUGACUAGAGUAUGGUAGAGGGUGGUGGAAUUUCCUGUGUAGCGGUGAAAUGCGUAGAUAUAGGAAGGAACACCAGUGGCGAAGGCGACCACCUGGACUAAUACUGACACUGAGGUGCGAAAGCGUGGGGAGCAAACAGG
rnacentral:rRNA from 1 species